UCCUCUGUAGUUCAGUCGGUAGAACGGCGGACUGUUAAUCCGUAUGUCACUGGUUCGAGUCCAGUCUGAGGAGCCA
rnacentral:tRNA from 2 species